UACGAAGGGGGCUAGCGUUGUUCGGAAUUAUUGGGCGUAAAGCGCGCGCAGGCGGUUCUUUAAGUCUGAUGUGAAAGCCCACGGCUCAACCGUGGAGGGUCAUUGGAAACUGGAGAACUUGAGUACAGAAGAGGAAAGCGGAAUUCCCGGUGUAGUGGUGAAAUGCGUAGAGAUCGGGAGGAACACCUGUGGCGAAGGCGGCUCGCUGGGCCGGUCCUGACGCUGAGGUGCGAAAGCAUGGGGAGCAAACAGG
rnacentral:rRNA from 1 species